GUCCCCGGAUGAGUGUACCUGAAGAAAAAGCAUCGGCUAACUCCGUGCCAGCAGCCGCGGUAAUACGGAGGAUGCGAGCGUUAUCCGGAUUUAUUGGGUUUAAAGGGUGCGCAGGCGGUCUGUUAAGUCAGCGGUCAAAGCCCGGGGCUCAACCCCGGCCCGCCGUUGAAACUGGCAGUCUCGAGUUGGAGAGAAGUAUGCGGAAUGCGCGGUGUAGCGGUGAAAUGCAUAGAUAUCGCGCAGAACUCCGAUUGCGAAGGCAGCAUGCCGGCUCCACACUGACGCUGAGGCACGAAAGCGUGGGUAUCGAACAGGAUUAGAUACCCUGGUAGUCCACGCAGUAAACGAUGAAUGCUGGCUGUCCGGGGGGA
rnacentral:rRNA from 1 species